CUGCACGCAGGGGUUUGAAACCCAGCCCUGACUGCCUAAUGGUUCCUGACUUCCCUGUAGCUUGGGGACACAUAAGCCAGCCUCAUGGUUCAUUCACCAUAUUUGGAAAGCUCUUUGGCGUCUGUGCACACUCAGGCUUAGUUCCUGGUAGACUUCUUUGGUGCCUGAAAUAAAGGCGUUUGGGAUGAGAUCUUUUCAAGAAAGCAUGGAGAACCUGAGAUCCCCCAUGACGUGAGCGCUUAGUGGGUUCAAGGACGAGGAUGGAGAGGCUGGAGGAAAUGACGGCAGAGGGAUGGAGCUACAACUAGGAACUGGGGCAAAGUGCAUGAGCGUUCUGCAACAACUGAGACCUGACCUGUGAGAGCGGAAGGGCCUGUGUGUGCACAUGUGGCUCGUAGACCUUUGGAGUAAAGGGUUUCA